UCUGUCCGCCAUCUUAGAUCCAGUUCAGUUCUGUGUAGGGGUAUCCCUCUCUCCUAGUAUUUCUGUCCGCCAUCUUUGAUCCAGUUCAGUUCUGUGUAGGGGUACCCCUCUCUCCUAGUAUUUCUGUCCGCCAUCUUAGAUCCAGUUCAGUUCUGUGUAGGGGUACCCCUCUCUCCUAGUAUUUCUGUCCGCCAUCUUUGAUCCAGUUCAGUUCUGUGUAGGGGUAUCCCUCUCUCCUAGUAUUUCUGUCCUCCAUCUUUGAUCCAGUUCAGUUCUGUGUAGGGGUACCCCUCUCUCCUAGUAUUUCUGUCCGCCAUCUUUGAUCCAGUUCAGUUCUGUGUAGGGGUACCCCUCUCUCCUAGUAUUUCUGUCCGCCAUCUUA
rnacentral:lncRNA from 1 species